GAUGAACGCUGGCGGCGUGCCUAAUACAUGCAAGUCGAGCGAACUGAUUAGAAGCUUGCUUCUAUGACGUUAGCGGCGGACGGGUGAGUAACACGUGGGCAACCUGCCUGUAAGACUGGGAUAACUUCGGGAAACCGAAGCUAAUACCGGAAAGGAUCUUCUCCUUCAUGGGAGAUGAUUGAAAGAUGGUUUCGGCUAUCACUUACAGAUGGGCCCGCGGUGCAUUAGCUAGUUGGUGAGGUAACGGCUCACCAAGGCAACGAUGCAUAGCCGACCUGAGAGGGUGAUCGGCCACACUGGGACUGAGACACGGCCCAGACUCCUACGGGAGGCAGCAGUGGGGAAUCUUCCGCAAUGGACGAAAGUCUGACGGAGCAACGCCGCGUGAGUGAUGAAGGCUUUCGGGUCGUAAAACUCUGUUGUUAGGGAAGAACAAGUACGAGAGUAACUGCUCGUACCUUGACGGUACCUAACCAGAAAGCCACGGCUAACUACGUGCCAGCCGCCGCAGUAA
rnacentral:rRNA from 1 species